UACGGAGGGUGCAAGCGUUGUUCGGAAUCACUGGGCGUAAAGAGCACGUAGGCGGGUUUGUAAGUCAAUUGUGAAAUCCCCGGACUCAACCCGGGAAUUGCAGUUGAAACUACAAGUCUUGAAUGUCAGAGAGGGUGACGGAAUUCCUGGUGUAGAAGUGAAAUUCGUAGAUAUCAGGAGGAACACCCGAGGCGAAGGCGGUUACCUGGCUGUACAUUGACGCUGAGGUGCGAAAGCGCGGGGAGCAAACAGG
rnacentral:rRNA from 1 species